rnacentral:rRNA from 1 species
UACGGAGGGGGCAAGCGUUACUCGGAAUUAUUGGGCGUAAAGGGCGCGUAGGCGGUCUCGUGCGUCAGGGGUGAAAUCCCCGGGCUUAACCCGGGACGUGCCUCUGAUACGGCGAGACUUGAGUCCGGGAGAGGGGAGCAGAAUUCCCAGUGUAGCGGUGAAAUGCGUAGAUAUUGGGAGGAAUACCAGUGGCGAAGGCGGCUCCCUGGACCGGUACUGACGCUGAGGUGCGAAAGCGUGGGGAGCAAACAGGAUUAGAAACCCCGGUAGU